GACGAACGCUGGCGGCGUGCUUAACACAUGCAAGUCGAACGCAGUGGCGAACGGGUGAGUAACACGUGAGUAACCUGCCCCCUUCUUUGGGAUAACGCCCGGAAACGGGUGCUAAUACUGGAUAGUGGGGGAUGGGCUGGCGGCCUAUCAUCUUGUUGGUGGGGUGCUGGCCUACCAAGGCUUUGACGGGUAGCAGGCCUGAGAGGGUGACCGGUCACCUUGGGACGGAGAUAUGGCCCAGACUCCUACGGGAGGCAGCAGUGGGUGAUAUUGCACAAUGGGCGAAAGCCUGCUGCAGCGACGCCGCGUGAGGGAUGACGGCCUUCGGGUUGUAAACCUCUUUUGCUCAUGGUCGGGUAGUGGGUAAAGAAGCGCCGGCUAACUACGUGCCAGCAGCCGCGGUAAUUC
rnacentral:rRNA from 1 species